rnacentral:rRNA from 1 species
AACGAACGCUGGCGGCAGGCCUAACACAUGCAAGUCGAGCGAACCGCAAGGUUAGCGGCGGACGGGUUAGUAACGCGUGGGAACGUGCCCAAAGGUACGGAAUAGCCUCGGGAAACUGAGAGUAAUACCGUAUGUGCCCGAAAGGGGAAAGAUUUAUCGCCUUUGGAUCGGCCCGCGUUGGAUUCGGUAGUUGGUGGGGUAACGGACUACCAAGCCGACGAUCAAUAGCUGGUUUGAGAGGAUGAUCAGCAACACUGGGACUGAGACACGGCCCAGACUCCUACGGGAGGCAGCAGUGGGGAAUCUUAGACAAUGGGGGAAACCCUGAUCUAGCCAUGCCGCGUGAGCGAUGAAGGCCUUAGGGUUGUAAAGCUCUUUCACCGGGGAAGAUAAUGACGGUACCCGGAGAAGAAGCCCCGGCUAACUCCGUGCCAGCCGCCGCGGUAAAAC